rnacentral:rRNA from 1 species
AUUGAACGCUGGCGGCUGGCCUAACACAUGCAAGUCGAACGAGUGGCGGACGGGUGAGUAAUGUUUGGGCAACUUCCCGAUGGAGGGGGAUCACUACUGGAAACGGUAGCUAAUACCGCAUACCAUCGGAUGUGCACAGAUGGGAUUAGCUAGUGGGUGGGUGAAUGGCUCACCUAGGCGACGAUCCCUAGCUGGUCUGAGAGGAUGACCAGCCACACUGGAACUGAGACACGGACCAGACUCCUACGAGAGGCAGGAGUGGGGAAUAUUGCACAAUGAACGCAAGCCUGAUGCAGAGAUGCAGCGUGAAUGAAGAAGGUCUUCGGAUUGUAAAGAACUGUCGGCGGGGAGGCGUUACCCACAGAAGAAGCAACGGAUAACUCCGUGCCAGCGGCCGCGGUAAUAC